UUGUGAUGAUGAUUAUUCUACAUUGCUAAUUAUCUUUGAAGCUUUGUAUUGAGCUUUUUAACCCUGAACAAG